CGCGGCCUAUCAGCUUGUUGGUGGGGUAAUGGCCUACCAAGGCGUCGACGGGUAGCCGGCCUGAGAGGGUGGACGGCCACAUUGGGACUGAGACACGGCCCAGACUCCUACGGGAGGCAGCAGUGGGGAAUAUUGCACAAUGGGCGCAAGCCUGAUGCAGCGACGCCGCGUGGGGGAUGAAGGCCUUCGGGUUGUAAACUCCUUUCAACCAUGACGAAGCAUUAUGUGACGGUAGUGGUAGAAGAAGCACCGGCUAACUACGUGCCAGCAGCCGCGGUAAUACGUAGGGUGCGAGCGUUGUCCGGAAUUACUGGGCGUAAAGAGCUCGUAGGUGGUUUGUCGCGUCGUCUGUGAAACUCCGGGGCUUAACUCCGGGCGUGCAGGCGAUACGGGCAUAACUUGAGUGCUGUAGGGGAGACUGGAAUUCCUGGUGUAGCGGUGAAAUGCGCAGAUAUCAGGAGGAACACCGAUGGCGAAGGCAGGUCUCUGGGCAGUAACUGACGCUGAAGAGCGAAAGCAUGGGUAANCGAACAGGAUUAAAUACCCUGGUAAUCCAUGCCGUAAACNGUGGGCGCUAGGUGUGGGGGUCUUCCACCACUUCUGUGCCGUAGCUAACGCAUUA
rnacentral:rRNA from 1 species